rnacentral:rRNA from 1 species
GUAGGUGGCAAGCGUUGUCCGGAAUUAUUGGGCGUAAAGCGCGCGCAGGCGGGUUCUUUAAGUCUGAUGUGAAAGCCCACGGGCUCAACCGUAGAGGGUCAUUGGAAACUGGAGAACUUGAGUACAGAAGAGGAAAGCGGAAUUCCACGUGUAGCGGUGAAAUGCGUAGAGAUGUGGAGGAACACCAGUGGCGAAGGCGGCUUUCUGGUCUGUAACUGACGCUGAGGCGCGAAAGCGUGGGGAGCAAACAGGAUUAGAUACCCUGGUAGUCCACGCCGUAAACGAUGAGUGCUAAGUGUUAGGGGGUUUCCGCCCCUUAGUGCUGCAGCUAACGCAUUAAGCACUCCGCCUGGGGAGUACGGCCGCAAGGCUG